rfam:Otolemur garnettii contig097647, whole genome shotgun sequence.
GCUUGGCAUAGUGGUAUGUGCAUGUUGUCCCAACUACUGGGGAGUCUGAGGCAGGAGGUGAUGGAGGACAGUGGUUAUGGGCUAUAGUGCUCUAUGCCAAUGAGGUGUUUAGCAUCAAUAUGGUGACAUUCCAGGGGUGGUGGCCCAUGAUAUUCCUAAUGAGGGGUGAAUUGGCCCAGGUAGGAAAUGGAACAGGUCAAAAUUCCUGAGCUGAUUAGGAAUGGGAUCACACUUGUGAACAGCCACUGCACUCUGACCUGGGCAGCAUAGCAAGACCCUGUCUCUU